GGGGGCGCAAACGGUAAUCGAUUCUCGUGCAUCUCCGUUCGUGGCAAGUCGAGGGCUCACGAGUAGGUUGGCCUCGUAAAAAAACCUGCUCGAAGAAGAUAACUGCCGACCACGAGUUGGCUCUUGCUGCCUAAGCGAACCGCUGAACAGCAAGCGUUUGUUUCGACUCGCGCCGGUAGGAGCGAGACAAGCGUGUUUUAUUACCGGACGACGCGCUCAUGGUUGCGGGCUCCAGGAGCGAGUUGCAAGGAAAAGCCGGCGUAUCGCCUGCGUCGCGGGUAGCUCGGCAAGCGGCGGUGCGCGGUCUGUCAAUCGAGCUACUAAACUUGUAGAAGCGAACGUAGUUCCACGAGAAGACGAGGGUUCGACUCCCUCCGCCUCCAUCU
rnacentral:tmRNA from 1 species